ensembl:lncRNA
GGUUUCCAUGGGGCUGGGGAUGUGGGAAGCAUGUGCUGAAAUCAGGAUGCUAUCUGCUAUAAUCCUGCUCUUUUCAAAACACAGAAAAGCGUGACGUUUUCAUGAGACCAGUCAAAAUUUUCAGCGUUCUCUCCUGGUUCAAAGCCCAGCAUUUUACCAAAAUGACAAUUCUGUGCUGUAUGAAAUCACUAGGAACUAACUGGUACAAAGAAUGCUAUGUGCUACUGACAAAAGCCUUUUCAUCACUUACAGCCAGCAGUCUGGAACUCCUGGUCAUGGUGCAGGAAAUGCUUGUGCCACCAUCACACAGGAGCCAUCCUGUUCCUAUUGCAGACCUCCCUCAGAUGUACCUAUCGUCCCCACAACAUGGCACAGCACCACCCAUUGCUGCUGCAUUCAGAAGACAUGCUGUAGCUGUUGUCUGGAAUCUGUACCGACUUUAAAAUUAUUGCCUCUAGACAUCUUGCUCGUUGUGCUUGUAUCACCUUCAUGGUACGUCGGAUGUUUCCUGCAGGUACCUGGAGUUAGUUCUAUCCAUGCCUCCAGCUUCACUGCGGUGACACUGAGCUCCUCUAUCCCGUCCAGCCCCAUGGAAUGCUGCAUCCUGGCUGCCCAGAACUGGUCCUGAGCGUCGGCACAAAGCCCUGUGACCACACUUAAUCUCAAACCAGGGAUGACAAUCUGGGUCAAAACCAUUCAGUUCGUCAGCAAGAAAACAUCUCCAUUGGGGUAGGCACCAUUCUGCCCUGUUAGUAACGUGGUCUCC